GAACGGGUGAGUAACACGUGAGUAACCUGCCCUUAACUCUGGGAUAAGCCUGGGAAACUGGGUCUAAUACCGGAUAUGACUCCUCAUCGCAUGGUGGGGGGUGGAAAGCUUUUGUGGUUUUGGAUGGACUCGCGGCCUAUCAGCUUGUUGGUGAGGUAAUGGCUCACCAAGGCGACGACGGGUAGCCGGCCUGAGAGGGUGACCGGCCACACUGGGACUGAGACACGGCCCAGACUCCUACGGGAGGCAGCAGUGGGGAAUAUUGCACAAUGGGCGCAAGCCUGAUGCAGCGACGCCGCGUGAGGGAUGACGGCCUUCGGGUUGUAAACCUCUUUCAGUAGGGAAGAAGCGAAAGUGACGGUACCUGCAGAAGAAGCGCCGGCUAACUACGUGCCAGCAGCCGCGGUAAUACGUAGGGCGCAAGCGUUAUCCGGAAUUAUUGGGCGUAAAGAGCUCGUAGGCGGUUUGUCGCGUCUGCCGUGAAAGUCCGGGGCUCAACUCCGGAUCUGCGGUGGGUACGGGCAGACUAGAGUGAUGUAGGGGAGACUGGAAUUCCUGGUGUAGCGGUGAAAUGCGCAGAUAUCAGGAGGAACACCGAUGGCGAAGGCAGGUCUCUGGGCAUUAACUGACGCUGAGGAGCGAAAGCAUGGGGAGCGAACAGGAUUAGAUACCCUGGUAGUCCAUGCCGUAAACGUUGGGGCACUAGAGUGUGGGGGACAUUCCACGUUUUCCGCGCCGUAGCUAACGCAUUAAGUGCCCCGCCUGGGGAGUACGGCCGCAAGGCUAAAACUCAAAGGAAU
rnacentral:rRNA from 1 species